AGUCCCCGGGUUGGCUCGAACCACCAACCUUUCGGUUAACAGCCGAACGCGCUAGCCGAUUGCGCCACGGAGAC
rnacentral:tRNA from 1 species